rnacentral:tRNA from 3 species
GGGCGAUUAGCUCAGUUGGUUCAGAGUACUACGUUGACAUCGUAGGGGUCACAGGUUCAAGUCCUGUAUCGCCCA